rnacentral:pre_miRNA from 1 species
UCAGCGGUAGUAGUAGAUUCUGCUGUGGUAGUUGUUUGUUCAGCGGUAAACCAACAACUAGCACAGCAGAAUCUACUACUACCGCUGA